GCCACAGACCAUACACACCCAUUACCAAUGAGCAAUAGAUUCCGGUAACCCCCUCCUGUCUACCAGAGUCCUCUCCCUGUAACCCAGAAUGUUUGCACGUCCCACCCGCGCUUUGCCCAGCUCCUCACUGUCCUUGGACUUCCCUGGAGAACGUAGAACUGAUGUGCACUGUUGGCUCCUGUUGUGCUGCACAGGCCUCCGUACAAACGGAACUCAAGAGCAUACACCACUCAUCUCUGCUAGUGGAUCACCUCUGAACGCUGUCUGCGCUGGGCUGAGGAUGCUCAUUACUGAAGUUCAAGGUUCUUACUGAUGUCACUGGAAAAUUUGUCUCUGCUCUGAGAAAUCACAGGGUAAGUCUGGAAAGUUCAAGGACAGAGAGAAUAGAAGGUUGGUUACUCUUCUUUAAAGUAGUUCUGAGAAUGGG
rnacentral:lncRNA from 1 species